rnacentral:lncRNA from 12 species
CAAAUUUAGAUUUCACUGUUGGUGCUACCUGGGUUUUUUGUGUGUUUGUGUUUAAUGCAGCUGAAAGUUAUUAUGUAAAAUGGGUAAAUUGGAGUCUUUAAAGGAGCUGCCAACUUGCAUUUGCCUGACUUACUUCAGCAGUGGAGAGGAGAGGAAGAAUUCCAGACACGUCAUCCUGAUUUCACAAGUCUUCAGAGAUCUCCAGAGUGGACUUACCCAUCUGUGUGAGGAGGAAGGCUAUACAUGCAAAUUCAGAUUCCUGAUGCAUUCCCACUAACUCUGCCCUUCUGUUCUGGAAGAAUUAGGAAAAACUGUGGGGUUUGUAUUUUCUUUUAUUUGUUUCUUUGUGUAUCAUGUGCUCUCUGAUUCUCAUUUACUUCUUAUUUCGUUAUCUUUCCUGUUCUUUUUCAUUUUUGUGGCUACACUUGU